CAGCACUGAGCAGAAAUAACACGGCUCCUGUUCAUUCUCCAUCAGUGAGGGGCCGGUGCUGGACACUGUGUAGGGACGCGGGAAUGCAAAGUCAUACACAUGACUGUGACUGAUGCACUAUCUCCAGGACAUGGAGUAGCAUUUCGGGACCUACAGCAAGACGUUGGAUGAAGGCACAGGCCUAGGAAUCAUGCACAUACACAGAAACAUUUGCCCAAAUUCUAGAGGUAACCUCCUUUAGUAUGCCCAGAGGAAGGGCCAUACAGUAGCCAUGGAUUCCCUACAGGUUUCCUCCCCUCUGGAGGUUUUUCCUGUCCUGAGUAUUAGUUACUGUACGCUCUUUGUGAGUGAUGGGAGGUUACAAAAAAUCCCCUACACAAACAUUUUAAUAAAUAAUAAAUAAAGUUCCCCUUUUUUUAAACUGUUC